rnacentral:rRNA from 1 species
GAUGAACGCUAGCGGCAGGCCUAAUACAUGCAAGCUGAACGGUAAAUAUUGUAGCAAUACGAUAUGAGAGUAGCGUAAGGGUGCGUAACACGUAUGCAAUCUGCCCGCAACAGGAGGAUAGCUCCCCGAAAGGGGAAUUAAUACUCCAUAAUAUCACGAGAGGGCAUCUGAUUGUGAUUAAACUCCAAGGGGUUGCGGAUGAGAUUGCGUCUGAUUAGUAAGUUGGUGAGGUAACGGCUCACCAAGACGAUGAUCAGUAGGGGAACUGAGAGGUUGAUCCCCCACACUGGCACUGAGAUACGGGCCAGACUCCUACGGGAGGCAGCAGUAGGGAAUAUUGGUCAAUGGGUGAGAGCCUGAACCAGCCAUGCCGCGUGCAUGAAGAAAGCCUUCUGGGUUGUAAACUGCUUUUGCCAGGGGAUAAAAUACCCAUGCGUGGGGAAUUGAAGGUACCUGGUGAAUAAGCCACGGCUAACUACGUGCCAGCCGCCGCAGUAAGAC